rnacentral:lncRNA from 1 species
GGAAUCACAGGAAGGAAACCUCCGUGGGCAGCAGGAGCAAGUGCAAUCCCUGGAGACGAGUCGAAGGGGCCCGAGGCCCCGAGAAGGGCAGGAUGCGAUGCUGGGUGUGUGACCUCAGCCAUGGAAGGGCCACCUGCCACCGGGGGGCUGGGCCGUCGGGCCUUUGGUUGUGGAGGGAAAAGAGUGGCCACUUGCUGGAGCUGGGAACGUGCAGUGAUGAGCACUAGGACAAGAGGACCGUGACAAACAGACAUAGAAGAUCUGGAGACUGGGGAAGUCCAAGAUCAAGGCUCCAGCAGAUUCAGUAUCUGGACAGCAUUGAGUUCAUUGCCUCAAAAUUGCUGCGCUCUCCUUCUGCCAGUGCCCAGAGAUGCUCCCCACACCACACUGCACUGCUGGGGGAUGUUAGAGGUGAUUCAAGACAGUUUUUCCUACCUCUUCAGUGCCUCUUUCAGCAAUAUGAAGUUAAAACCAGGUACUAUGAGAACUCACCUGAUUUUUAGUUCUUAUGAAGGUGCUUUCCUUGUGUAAAUAUUUGUUAAAUUGUUUUCCUUGCCAGAGGAAUGAUCAGUGGAGCCUUCUAUUCUGCCACCUUUCUCUGCCUCUCUCCAAUCCUCUUACCUUUUUCACACAGCCUUCGUGGUUAUCACAGAGACUUAAGAUGGAAUGUUAAAUACACUCUUUUAUAUUGGAAAUAAAAUGAAAACCAGAUAUAAACAAAUAAACAAGCCACGGAGAAAAGAAAACAAACUUUGAAUAAUUAAUUUAUUGUAACUCAUAAGCCCAGCGUUGUAUAAAAAAUGUUGUCAUCCUGUUAUAUUUCUUUGUCUUCUUCCUGUUAGCAAGAAUUUGGCUUUUAACUUCUAAGCACUAUCCCUGUUUCUCUGUAGUGGUGCAUCCCAGAAUGGCCAUUCCUAGCUUUUUGAUUAAAUACUCUUUAAAAUAGAAA